AUUGAACGCUGGCGGCAGGCCUAACACAUGCAAGUCGAGCGGAUGAAGGGAGCUUGCUCCUGGAUUCAGCGGCGGACGGGUGAGUAAUGCCUAGGAAUCUGCCUGGUAGUGGGGGAUAACGUCCGGAAACGGGCGCUAAUACCGCAUACGUCCUGAGGGAGAAAGUGGGGGAUCUUCGGACCUCACGCUAUAAGAUGAGCCUAGGUCGGAUUAGCUAGUUGGUGGGGUAAAGGCCUACCAAAGCGACGAUCCGUAACUGGUCUGAGAGGAUGAUCAGUCACACUGGAACUGAGACACGGUCCAGACUCCUACGGGAGGCAGCAGUGGGGAAUAUUGGACAAUGGGCGAAAGCCUGAUCCAGCCAUGCCGCGUGUGUGAAGAAGGUCUUCGGAUUGUAAAGCACUUUAAGUUGGGAGGAAGGGCAGUAAGUUAAUACCUUGCUGUUUUGACGUUACCAACAGAAUAAGCACCGGCUAACUUCGUG
rnacentral:rRNA from 1 species